UGUGCCGCGCCACACUAGUGUGCCGUGAGAUUCAGUCUGGUGUGCCGUGGGAGAUUAUGUAGUUUCACCUAUUUGGGUUAAAAAUAUUUUUUGCAUCCAUCCAUCCAUUUUCUACCGCUUAUUCCCUUUCGGGGUCACGGGGGGCGCUGGCGGCUAUCUCAGCUACAAUCGGGCGGAAGGCAGGGUACACCCUGGACAAGUCGCCGCCUCAUCGCAGGGCCAACACAGGUGCAUGUCUUUUGGAAGUGGGAGGAAGCCGGAGUACCCGGAGGGAACCCACGCAUUCACGGGGAGAACAUGCAAACUCCACACAGAAAGAUCCCGAGCCUGGAUUUGAACCCAGGACUGCUGGAACUUCGUAUUGUGAGGCAGACGCACUAACCCCUCUUCCACCGUGAAGCCCUUUACUGUAAACCAGUAAUUAUAAUCCGCAAAUAAUGUGUUGUUGUUGAGUGUUGGUGCUGUCUAGAGCUCGGCAGAGUAACCAUGUAAUACUCUCCCAUAUCAGUAGGUGAAAGCUGGUAGCUAUUUGCUUUGUAGAUGUCAGGAACAUGUCGGGUGAGACGACGAUGGUUUGUCGUGAUCACAAUAUGCAGACAACAGCGGAAGGCAGUGUGCAGGUUUGUCUCCCGGGGAGCUUCACCCAGCUCUUGCCUGCAGUCGUCCUCGGUUAAGGAGGAUGUUUGCCAACGCAAGCCUUUGUUUGACAAUCCUUUCUGGGUGGCGGGGGGCGCUGGAGCCUAUCUUCGCUGCAUUCGGGCGGUAGGCAGAGUACACCCUGGACAAAUCACCACCUCAUCACAGAGCCAACACAGACAGACAACAUUCACACUCACAUUCACACACCAGGGCCAAAUUUAGUGUUGCCAAUCAACCUAUCCCCAGGUGCAUGUCUUUGGAGGUGGGAGAAAGCCGGACCCCCCGGAGGGAGCCAACGCAGUCACAUGCAAAAACCCCUAGCCCAUGGAUCGAACCCAGGACCUUCGUAAUUUUUAAGUAAAGAAUUGAAUUCUUUGUCUCUGCAUCAGCUGGCAGGGGCAACCGUGUCACAAAGCUCAUUUUUCAUAGAUGAAACUACCCAUAGGGCUUCACGGUGGCAGAGGGGUUAGUGCGUCUGCCUCACAAUACGAAGUUCCUGCAGUCCUGGGUUCAAAUCCAGGCUCGGGAUCUUUCUGUGUGGAGUUUGCAUGUUCUCCCCGUGAAUGCGUGGGUUCCCUCCGGGUACUCCGGCUUCCUCCCACUUCCAAAGACAUGCACCUGGGGAUAGGUUGAUUGGCAACACUAAAUUGGCCCUAGUGUGUGAACGUGAGUGUGAAUGUUGUCUGUCUAUCUGUGUUGGCCCUGCGAUGAAGUGGCGACUUGUCCAGGGUAUACCCUGCCUUCCGCCCGAUUGUAGCUGAGAUAGGUGCCAGCGCCCCCCGCGACCCCGAAAGGGAAUAAGCGGUAGAAAAUGGAUGGAUGGAUGGAAACUAUCCAUGAACUGCAAUCCAGCCAAGAAUUGUUACAUGCCCACAGAUGACAUUCUUCUGCUGAGAUCCUCCUCCUGAUUACAUCAAUGACCAGAGGUUUAAAACACAAUCAAUAGACUGAAAGUGAUCGUACCGUUUGUUGCAACUUGAUCCAUU